AGUGCUAAUCACUGAGUGAGGAUCUACGUCCUAGUCACUCUAUGGUACAAAUAUUCAUAUAGAAAGUAUACAACAUAUAACACAUAAGGCUAAUUCUAUAAUCUAAUUUAUAUUCAUAUUUUAUUUGGGAUCCCGGCUCACAUAUGCUGACGACCCACGUAGAGUUAGUGGCACUAAAAUGGCCCACGUAGAGUUAGUGUGGCGGUUAUCAAAACCCACGGCAUUAGUUAGUUGUGGCGCUUACUAAGGCCCACCGUGUAACAGAAGUGCAAUAAGCACAAUCGCCAGCAUACGGGCCCUAACUAGGUGAGCAAUCAAUUACCA
rnacentral:lncRNA from 1 species